CCUACGGGAGGCAGCAGUAGGGAAUCUUCCACAAUGGGCGAAAGCCUGAUGGAGCAACGCCGCGUGGGUGAAGACGGUCUUCGGAUCGUAAAACCUUGUUUUUAGAGAAGAAAGUGCGUGAGCGUAACUGUUCACGUUUCGACGGUAUCUAACCAGCAUGCCACGGCUAACUACGUGCCAGCAGCCGCGGUAAUACGUAGGUGGCAAGCGUUAUCCGGAUUUAUUGGGCGUAAAAGGAACGCAGGCCGGCAUUUAAGUCUGAUGUGAAAGCCUUGGGCUUAACCGGAGUAGUGCAUUGGAAACUGGGGGAGUUGAGUGCAGAAGAGGAGAGUGGAACUCCAUGUGUAGCGGUGAAAUGCGUAGAUAGAUGGAAGAACACCAGUGGCGAAAGCGGCACUCUGGUCUGUAACUGACGCUGAGGUUCGAAAGCGUGGGUAGCGAACAGGAUUAGAUACCCUGGUAGUC
rnacentral:rRNA from 1 species